rnacentral:lncRNA from 1 species
CACUUAACAUUCCUGCGUCACACCAUAGACCUCACAGGCCAGGCAGAGUCAUCCCUACAGGCCCAACUGAUGACUGGACCCCAGUGACUCCCACAUGGCUUUUAAAUACAGAUGCCAGACACCAUAAUCACCAGCGCCCCCAAAGCCCCACUUAAGAAUCACCACAGACUGAAACCCCUGUAACUGACAUUCUCAGGCUUGCGCCACAGACCCCCUAAAUUAGACCCCAGUCACUCAAUGCCCAGGGAUCCCUAAUCCCUAGUUUAUUUACGUGCAUAAUUUUUAAAAACUGAGUCUAAAAUUUUUAAAAAAAUUGAAAGUUACUUUCAAUAAUACUAAAAAGCAUCUAAAAGAGACUGAAAAUUUAUUUCCCUAGAGAAAAAAUUAAACUCUUUAGAACUAUUGAUAUAUUAAAAAAGGAAACUGCCAAAACUUCUCACCCUUCUGCUUCUGCAUCUC